UGGGGAAUCUUGCACAAUGGGGGAAACCCUGAUGCAGCGACGCCGCGUGAGCGAUGAAGGUUUUCGAAUCGUAAAGCUCUGUCCUAUGGGAAUAUAAUGACGGUACCAUAGGAGGAAGCCCCGGCUAACUACGUGCCAGCAGCCGCGGUAAUACGUAGGGGGCGAGCGUUGUCCGGAAUUACUGGGCGUAAAGGGUUCGCAGGCGGCAUGACAAGUCCGAUGUAAAAGGCGAAAGCUCAACUUUCGUAAGCAUCGGAAACUGUCAAGCUUGAGUGAAGGAGAGGCAAGUGGAAUUCCUAGUGUAGCGGUGGAAUGCGUAGAUAUUAGGAGGAAUACCGGUGGCGAAGGCGACUUGCUGGACUUCAACUGACGCUGAGGAACGAAAGCGUGGGUAGCAAACAGG
rnacentral:rRNA from 1 species